UUGCUCUGUCAUGUAAAACAUGUCUCCUUCCUCUUCACCCUUCAGCCACAAUUGUAAGUUUCCUGAGACCUCCCCAGUCAUGCCUCCAGUACAGCCUAUGAAACUACGUGCCAAUUAAACCUCUUUUCUUUAUAAAUUACCCAGUCUCAGGUAGUUCUUUAUAGCAGUG